GACCGGCCACACUGGGACUGAGACACGGCCCAGACUCCUACGGGAGGCAGCAGUGGGGAAUAUUGCACAAUGGGCGAAAGCCUGAUGCAGCGACGCCGCGUGAGGGAUGACGGCCUUCGGGUUGUAAACCUCUUUCAGCAGGGACGAAGCGAAAGUGACGGUACCUGCAGAAGAAGCACCGGCCAACUACGUGCCAGCAGCCGCGGUAAUACGUAGGGUGCGAGCGUUGUCCGGAAUUACUGGGCGUAAAGAGUUCGUAGGCGGUUUGUCGCGUCGUCUGUGAAAACCCACCGCUCAACGGUGGGCCUGCAGGCGAUACGGGCAGACUUGAGUACUGCAGGGGAGACUGGAAUUCCUGGUGUAGCGGUGAAAUGCGCAGAUAUCAGGAGGAACACCGGUGGCGAAGGCGGGUCUCUGGGCAGUAACUGACGCUGAGGAACGAAAGCGUGGGUAGCAAACAGGAUUAGAUACCCUGGUAGUCCACGCCGUAAACGGUGGGCGCUAGGUGUG
rnacentral:rRNA from 1 species